AUUGAACGCUGGCGGCAUGCCUUACACAUGCAAGUCGAACGGCAGCACGGGUGCUUGCACCUGGUGGCGAGUGGCGAACGGGUGAGUAAUACAUCGGAACAUGUCCCGUAGCGGGGGAUAGCCUGGCGAAAGCCGGAUUAAUACCGCAUACGAUCUACGGACGACAGGGGGGGACCUUCGGGCCUCGCGCUAUAGGGUUGGCCGAUGGCUGAUUAGCUAGUUGGGGGGGUAAAGGCCUACCAAGGCGACGAUCAGUAGAUGGUCGGAGAGGAGGACCAGCCACACUAGGACUGAGACACGGCCCAGACUCCUACGGGAGGCAGCAGUGGGGAAUGUUGGACAGUGGGCGAAAGCCUGAUCCAGCAAUGCCGCGUGUGUGAAGAAGGCGUUCGGGUUGUAAAGCACUUUUGUCCGGAAAGAAAUCCUUGGCUCUAAUACAGUCGGGGGAUGACGGUACCGGAAGAAUAAGCACCGGCUAACUACGUG
rnacentral:rRNA from 1 species